CCGUCUCUGUGGUUUGUAAGGUAGGUUGCAGUGUGUGUAUAUACACAACAUCAAGAGCAGGAAAAUGGACUCAUUAGGGAGGCAGGCAGUCAUUACCACUCACACUGUACUUCCAGGGAGACACCGAUUAUGAGAAGAGAAACUCAGCGCUGGGGAAGAAGUCAUAUAAAAAGAAGUAAUAAGAAUUGUCCUGUGAGGCUUUGAAGACUGAAGAGUACCUGAUAAGUUACUAGUCUUCUGUGCCCCAUAGAGCUGCUCAGUUCUGGAGUCCAGAAGUCCAAAAUCAAGGUGCUGCAGGUCCGCAGUCUUUCUGAAGACCCAGGCUGCCUGAAGUUACAUUUAGAGACUGAAAUCAUUGCACCUUAAAAACAAAAGAUUCAGCUACACUGCAUUCCUGAUGUUUCACCAUCAGUAACUGGAUAUUCCUCACAA